UUGUAUCCGAGGCUUGUUUUAAGUUGCCUGCGAUCUCUUAAUGACUCAGGCAGCUAAAGCAAGUCUGGGAGGCCA
rfam:Danio rerio chromosome 9, GRCz11 reference primary assembly.